rnacentral:lncRNA from 13 species
GUAAGCGCAGGGCUGGGGUCAGCGGCUGGCUGUAAGCGCAGGGCUGGGGUCAGCGGCCGUUUGACCAGGGUCCAUAGGGAAUAGUGUGCCAUUUGGUAGAUCAGACGAGAAGGCCCUACUAAAUAUACAGUACACACACAACUACAUAGACUUUCCUCUCUUCUUCACAAGUCUCUCAAUGUUCUCUUUUUCAUCAGUCACACUUUAGAUUCUCUUCCUUUCCUCUCCUCUCCUCUCCUCUCCUCUCCUUUCUUUCUGCCUGAAAGUGGGAUAAGAUUUAACACAGUCCAUUCCAGAUAUUCCACUCCAGACGUUAUUUUGGGCCAUCCUCCCCUCAGCAGCCUCCACUGACAGGGGGAAGAGGGUUAUUUUUGUGUUCUCCUUAGCUGGUGAAGGAGAGGAGGUGUCUUGGUUUGAGUCUCGGUUAAAGUCUGUUUCUGCAGUUUGAUCUGGUCUGAUCCGGUUUGG